GGAGACAUGCCCGAGUGGCCGAAGGGAGCACCUUGCUAAGGUGUCGAACCGUCUGACGGUUCCGAGAGUUCGAAUCUCUCUGUCUCCGCCA
rnacentral:tRNA from 2 species